rnacentral:rRNA from 1 species
UACGUAGGGUGCAAGCGUUGUCCGGAAUUAUUGGGCGUAAAGAGCUCGUAGGCGGUUUGUCGCGUCUGCUGUGAAAACUCGGGGCUUAACCCCGAGCCUGCAGUGGAUACGGGCAGACUAGAGGUAGGUAGGGGAGAAUGGAAUUCCCGGUGUAGCGGUGAAAUGCGCAGAUAUCAGGAGAACACCCGUGGCGAAGGCGGUUCUCUGGGACGGUACUGACGCUGAGACGCGAAAGCGUGGGAGCGAACAGG